rnacentral:tRNA from 1 species
GGAGAGUUGGCAGAGUCAGGUUGAAUGUGCCCGUUUGCUAGACGGGUGGUCGUCUAUGUGUGGUCCGUGGGUUCAAAUCCCACACUCUCCU